CACGCUUCUCCCAACACUGCCUCCCUCUACCCAGUCCGGCUCUCCAGGGCUUGCCCGGGCUCCAGGCGUGGAACUCAGAGAAUGUCUCCGACACAUCUGCUACUCUUUGUUGGCCUGUGUAUCCAGUUUCCUGAAGUCAGAUGAAAUUUUGUCUACUCUGGGGCUGGAGAGAUGACUCUGUGGUGAAGAGCACUGGCUGCUCUUGCGAAGACUCGGGUUCAAUUCCCAGCACCUGCACAGUGGCCCAGCACCUUCUGUAGCUCCAGUUCCAGUGGAUCUGAUGCCCUCUUCUGACUACUGCAGGAAUGAAUGAAGACAAGUGAGAAGGCGUACCAGGCAUGGAUGUUCAAAUUCACUGAUGGGCUCCUUGGUCACUGAUGGUGAGGGAAGAGCUAACUACAAGGAAGAUGGAGACUGGGGGGAAGCAGUUGGUUUAUGUCUAAGAGAAGUUGUGGCUCCCAUAUAGGGCAGUCACAGCCAGCCUUUAAAUGACAAGUUAGCCUAACACUGCUGGGCAGGUACUCCAACAGUGUGGAGAGGGCUGUGUAGCUCUCAUCAUGGCUGACAUGGUGGCAUGCUGGUGAGCACAGUGGGACUCUGUAAGGUCUCAUUUAGCUUUCAGGAUGGGAGUAGAUGCCCAGGUGAUAGGUUCGUGUCCAGGAACAGGGAGCACUUCUGCUGUUAUGGUCCCCUCGUCUCCUAGACCUUCCAGUGUCUUGUGAGCUUGGGGAUUGGCUUGCAGUGGAAUAAAUCUUUCGUUACU